CUGUAAUUCCAAAAUAGCAACUGCUUGCAUUAUAUGCACUUUAGUUCUUAAAUGGCCCUUGAAAUAAAUGUUUUAUUAAAGAGUUUGCAUGUAAUACCGAAUAUAGAAAUACAGUAAUACAGUAAUUGUGGUAAUACAGAAAUAAAUUGAUUCCACGCUUAGUGUAAAUACGCUAAGAAUUUUAAUCAUAAAGGGCAAGUGGCCUCGGUUUCUGGAAUCCCUCAGGAAGCCAACUAUUUUGAGGAACUGUACAGAAGUGCCAACAAGACACCCAUCUUGUCAGUGGUAACAGAUGAGCACAGAUGAGCAGGUGCGAGUGCAAACACAGACUUUUCCCAGAGGCUAAUGAGAUGAAAGGAGGAACCAGUGGCUAGACUUUGAAGGUUAAAACUAGAGACAACUAAAAAGGCUACAGUAAUGGAUGUGCACUGUUAUUUAAUAUAAAAAGUGGAAUGAUGACAUGGUUUUCGAUAUAGGUUAGAUGUUCUGGAAAAAUAUUACAAACUUUUAUUAUUUUCCAUUUAAGCGUCUAAUCUCACAACUUAAAUUAUUCAUAGGGUCGCAGAAUCUACAACAGGAAAGAAGCUAUUGAGCUGAUUAUGCCUGAGCCUGCUCUUUGAAAAACCUGUCCAAUUAGUCCAACUCCAUACUCUUGCCUUGUAGCCACAGGCUGUUUGACGGGCCAUCCCACUGAAUGCUUUCCUUUCUAAAUCAUGGCUUUAGCAAUAUACCUGAACAUAGCAUUUUUCAGCCAAGAGAAUGCCUUGCAGCCUUAUGGAGGCUAAAAUAAAGGCACUGUGGACAUUGGAGGAUGCAGAGAGCAUAGGCACCAGGAAGAUAAAUGUGCUGCUGUGGGGAGAAUUUCCCCAGUUAUAAAUGAAAAUAAGUAACCUUUAUCAUCUUGUUCUCUUCUGCACCAAUUGCAUAAGAAAAAUUGCUGAAUCAGAAAAUCUGAUUUAUGAGAAUUAACAGGUGUGUCAAAGUGAGUUAAUCAAUUGACCUAAAGAGCUACAAAGACAGAAAAGGUGAAGUAGCCCAAGUAAACGAUUGCAUUGGAUAAUUCACUCCGUCACCAGGGACAUUGUCACUCAACAACUCCGCAAAGAAGUAUGCCUUAAGCACCUGCAAUAGUGAAAACCUGACAAGAUCACAGAGCUGGGACAGUGGGAAACUCCAACACGGUUUUUCUGUUGCUUCAAGCAAAGAGAAUACAACCAAGUGAGCAAUAACAGAAGGCACAAGAGACUGCAGAUGCUGGAAUCUGGAGUGAAAAAGGAGAAGCCACAACAAUUCAAGCAGCAUCCGUGGAGGUUAUUGGCUUGGAAGGAGACGAAUGGUAGAGAUAUGAGGGCGGCCCAUGGUGAUCUGUAACAAGACCUGUCCUUUCCAGACCUUUCAAUAAAAGACUUGAAGAAGGAAGAAAGUGCAUGAUGUCUAGGUCUGGAACUGACGCAUUAAGUUAGACACAGAAAGUGAGGAGGUCGAGUACAGAAAGGUGUGUUAUGCAGACGAACAAAACUCUGGCAAGAUUAUGUUCAAUGUGGGAAAUGGAGAGAGGACAGCCAAGGGUCUGUGUUGCUCCCUUGACUGGGGUUUUCCUUGCCACUUCCAUCGGCCAAUAAUUAGUAAAGUUUUGAACUGGUCUACCAAACCGCUUUGUGAGUUGUCUGUUUAUUAAGAAGUGAACCUGUUUGUUUAAUUAGAAGUUAACCCUUUUCACCUAUGCUGUAUUGUUCUAUGUUCUACAAAAUACUAUUAAGAUUGAAGUUAAAGAUAUAUGGAUACACUGAUCUGUUCUGUAUUCAUGCCUUCUA